rnacentral:rRNA from 1 species
CGGAUCUCUUAAAGACUGUUCUCAGUUCGGACUGCAGUCUGCAACUCGACUGCACGAAGCUGGAAUCGCUAGUAAUCGCGGAUCAGCACGCCGCGGUGAAUACGUUCCCGGGCCUUGUACACACCGCCCGUCACACCAUGGAAGUCUGCAAUGCCCGAAGCCGGUGGCCUAACCACUUAUGUGGAAGGAGCCGUCUAAGGCAGGGCAGAUGACUGGGGUGAAGUCGUAACAAGGUACC